CUCAAAGUUGGAACCUGUUUGGCCUAGCUAAACCGGAUUGUAAACUGUAGAAGUGUUUUCCAGGCAAGCCGGACCGAUAAGUCCUUUGGAACAGGGCAUCAUAGAGGGUGAGAAUCCCGUCUUCGGUCUGAGCAUUUGCCUUUUGCGAUACACUUUCAAAGAGUCAGGUUGUUUGGGAAUGCAGCCUAAAUUGGGUGGUAAAUCUCACCUAAAGCUAAAUAUUGGCGAGAAACCGAUAGCGAACAAGUACCGUGAGGGAAAGAUGAAAAGAACUUUGAAAAGAGAGUUAAACAGUAUGUGAAAUUGUUAAAAGGGAACCGUUUGGAGCCAGACUGGCUUGUCUGUAAUCAGUCUAAGUUUCGGCUUGGAUGCACUUGCAGGCUAUGCCUGCCAACGACAAUUUGGCUUGAGGGAAAAAACUAGGGGAAAUGUGGCCCAUUCGUGGGUGUUAUAGUCCCUUAGAAAAUACCUUGGGCUGGAUUGAGGUACGCAGCGAAUGCUAUUUGGCGAGUUGGCUGGGAAUAUUUUCUGAGGUGCUCUGGUACUGAGGUUGAUAUUUCCAGUUACACUUCUAUU
rnacentral:rRNA from 1 species